CAGGUCUGUGAUGCCCUUAGAUGUCCGGGGCUGCACGCGCGCUACACUGACUGGCUCAGCGUGUGCCUACCCUACGCCGGCAGGCGCGGGUAACCCGUUGAACCCCAUUCGUGAUGGGGAUCGGGGAUUGCAAUUAUUCCCCAUGAACGAGGAAUUCCCAGUAAGUGCGGGUCAUAAGCUUGCGUUGAUUAAGUCCCUGCCCUUUGUACAC
rnacentral:rRNA from 1 species